GCCCCAGUGGCUUAGAGGCAUAGCGGCUGACUUGUAAUCAGCAGGUCGCGAGUUCAAAUCUCGCCUGGGGCU
rnacentral:tRNA from 1 species